AUGUAAUCUUCUCUUCAGGGAAAUGAAGAAAUGAAACUCGUCAAUAAGACAUUUUAACAGAAAAUGAUGGAUAUGUAUAGUGAUUAACUGAACACUAUCAAGUUUGUUUCAAAAAAACGUUAGAAGAUAUAACGUCAAAUGUAGCCUAUAGAAAGAGGAGGGGUGUUUAAAGGAAAGA